UACGUAGGGGGCAAGCGUUGUCCGGAUUUAUUGGGCGUAAAGAGCGUGUAGGCGGCCAGGUAGGUCAGCUGUGAAAACUCGAGGCUCAACCUCGAGACGCCGAUGGAAACCAUCUGACUAGAGUCCGGAAGAGGAGAGUGGAAUUCCUGGUGUAGCGGUGAAAUGCGCAGAUAUCAGGAAGAACACCCGUGGCUAAGGCGGCUCUCUAGUACGGUACUGACGCUGAGACGCGAAAGCGUGGGGAGCGAACAGG
rnacentral:rRNA from 1 species